rnacentral:tRNA from 1 species
GGGGUUGUAGCUCAGUGGUAGAGUGCUUGCCUUGCAUGCACGAGGCCCUGGGUUCGAUCCUCAGCACCACA